rnacentral:rRNA from 1 species
AGCAGCCGCGGUAAUUCCAGCUCCAAUAGCGUAUAUUAAAGUUGUUGCAGUUAAAAAGCUCGUAGUUGAAUUUCGGGGUUAGUAGGUUGGUCAUGCCUCUGGUAUGUACUGGUCUCACUGAUUCCUCCUUCCUGAUGAACCUUAAUGCCAUUAAUUUGGUGUUUUGGGGAAUUUGGACUGUUACUUUGAAAAAAUUAGAGUGUUUAAGGCAAGCUAACGCUUGAAUACAUUAGCAUGGAAUAAUGAAAUAGGACGUUCGAUCCUAUUUUGUUGGUUUCUAGGAUUGACGUAAUGAUUAAUAGGGAUAGUUGGGGGCAUUAGUAUUCAAUUGUCAGAGGUGAAAUUCUUGGAUUUAUUGAAGACUAACUACUGCGAAAGCAUUUGCCAAGGAUGUUUUCAUUAAUCAAGAACGAAAGUUAGGGGAUCGAAGACGAUCAGAUACCGUCGUAGUCUUAACCAUAAACUAUGCCGACUAGGGAUCGGAUGAUGUUAAUUUUUUAAUGACUCA